rnacentral:rRNA from 1 species
AUGAGCCCGCUAAGGGAUACUGCGCAAGUUGGAGAGGGCAGUCUGAUCCAAAAACAAAGCUUGCAGGCCGUCCAAGAGCUGUGGAACGAAUGGGAGAUCCAUUGCCUCAUACUUGCAAGCUUUGGCCUACAAAUAUUCCUCUUCUUCGCAGCAGGCAUGCGGAGGCACAGUGUGUCCCGCAUCCUCAACUCCCUUAUAUGGUUGGCCUACUUAUCGGCUGACUCUGUGGCCAUUUUUGUUCUCGGACAUCUCGCUGUCCAUGCAAGCAGCUCACACCCUCUUCUUAUCUUUUGGGCGCCGUUCCUGCUCCUCCACCUAGGAGGGCCGGACACUAUCACUGCCUUCUCCGUGCAAGACAAUGAGUUGUGGCAACGCCACCUACUAGGAUUGGUCACCCAAGCAUCAGUGGCCGGCUAUGUAAUCUCCAUAUCGUCUUGGCAAGACAACCGGCUUCUUGCUGCCACGGUGCUCAUGCUCUUGUGUGGGGUUUUCAAGUACAUAGGGCGGACCCUUUGCCUUUACACAUCUAGACCAAAGUUCCUCAAGUAUGCUAUGGUGCCUAAUUUGGAUAGAUAUGUACGCGGUGUGUAUUAUAUACCAGGUAUUUCGGGGAGGAGAUCUUUUGAGGAUAUACUGAGGCGAAGAGUGCAUGAUAUGAUUCUUAAUGAUGUCGACGUGAAGCUACCACCCGCUUCCCCUUUCUCAAGUAUACUAUUGGAUACUCCACUCAAUGAUAUGGCUACAGUUGAAGGUGCAGCUAUCAUACCAGAUUUGCUCAAUGUGCUCAAGUCUAGUGCAGACCGCUCCAGGGCCUACAUUUAUGUCAGCAGAGUGCUCGUUCGUGUUUAUGAACGCAUCUACACCAAGGAUGUGCUUCAAUUUGGGUGGAUUUAUGAUUUCAAAACAGUAAUGUCCCAAGAUUCCGAGGGCAGAAUAAUAAGCCUAGUGCAACUUCACAUUGUAUCAUUUCUCUUGCUCUUCCCUCUUAUUUCGGCCUUGAUAACAUUGGAGCUAUUUAUGCUUGCCGAAAAGAUCCAGCUCUAUAGCCAUACCGAUGUCAGAGUCUCCUACAUAUUACUCAUAGGAGCCAUAAUCCUUGAGGUGGCAUCCCUCUUCAUGUCCAUUCUUUCCUGCUAUGCAUCGAGUGAAGCGCCAACAUCUUGCCCACCACCCCCCUCUGUGGUCUUGCAUGUAGCCAACUAUAUUCACCCCACAGGCCUACAUAGAAAGCACUGGUCCAAAAUGCUUGCACAACAUAACAUGUUUGAAUGUUACACCAGACAAAAAUCUACGAGCAUCAUGUCAGUUGUAUCACAGUGGAUUGGUGAGACAUUUACAAGAAUUGCCAUCAGUAAAGAUCUUGAGGAGUUUGUCCUAGGAAAACUAUUAGACUUGGGAACUGGGGAGCAAGGAGGCUGGAACUUUGCUAGCUUUCGUGGACAGCUAGCGCUUCAGAGCUGGACCACUAUGCACACAAUCAUUGACACUGCUGAUCUACCAACAAGUGUGCUGAUCUGGCACAUUGCAACGGAGAUAUGCUACUUUGGAGAAGAAAGCAACACCACUAGUCAUCAAGUUCAGGUGAUGAUAAGGGUGGGCAGAGAACUAUCAAACUAUAUCAUGUAUCUCGUCUUCACGUGCAGUGUAAUGCUUACAGGCAGCUCCAAGCUCGUAUAUGUUAACACUCAUAAGGAAAUCAAUAAUGUUCUUGGAGGAAAUGGUAAUCUAGCUAUUAAAGAAGCUAUUAGGACAAUGAUUCGACGUAUCGGAGAAAGGGGACCACCAGUCAAUCAAGUUUCUUUUAUUGAUCAUACCGACGUUCUUGCUGACUACAACAACCAAUUGGGAACUCAAGUGCAACUUCUGAAAGACAAUAUAAAGGCUCUUGAUUCACCGGUUUUGCCUCGUGCACGUAUAGUGGCUUGUCAUCUGACCGACAUGCCCGAAGAUGACCGAUGGAAACUCAUUGCGGAGGUAUGGCUGGAGAUGCUAUUCUACAUCGCGCCUCGAUGCGGGGGUGCUUUCCAUGCCAAACAUCUCAGUACUGGCGGGGAGUUUGUCACGCAUGUCCUCCAACUCAUGCGUUUGUUAGGCCCUUUUCUACCACCACCGAAUGCUUAG